GACGAACGCUGGCGGCGUGCUUAACACAUGCAAGUCGAACGGAAAGGCCCUGCGGGUGUCGCGUGCGCGGAACGGGAACGUAAGAGGAAAGCGAGAUUAACCAGCCCUUGGGAUAGGGAUAAGAACAGGGAACUAGUGCUAGUAACGAAUAGGAUCUGCUGCGGCACGGUGUGGGAUGUAAAUCUUCUGCGGUUGGGGUUGGACUCGCGGCGUAUCAGCUUGUUGGUGGGGUAUUGGCAUACCAAGGCUUCGACGGGUAGCCGGCCUGAGAGGGGGACCGGCCACACUGGGACUGAGACACGGCCCAGACUCCUACGGGAGGCAGCAGUGGGGAAUAUUGCACAAUGGGCGGAAGCCUGAUGCAGCGACGCCGCGUGCGGGAUGACGGCCUUCGGGUUGUAAACCUCUUUCGGCAGUGACGAAGCGUAAGUGACGGUACCGGCAAAAGAAGCACCGGCCAACUACGUG
rnacentral:rRNA from 1 species